CGUCUAUAUACGUAUAGCAUAUCAAUAAGCGGAGGAAAAGAAACUAACUAGGAUUCCCUUAGUAACGGCGAGUGAAGCGGGAAGAGCUCAAAUUUGAAAUCUUCAAGGUUCUACCUUGACGAAUUGUAGUUUAAAGAAGUGUUUUCUGUUAGAUGAGUAGCAAAAGUUCCUUGGAAUGGGACAUCAUAGAGGGUGAGAAUCCCGUAUUUGGUUAUUCACUUCUAGCUUUGUGAUACACUUUCAAAGAGUCGGAUUGUUUGGGAAUGCAGUCCAAAAUGGGUGGUAAAUUUCAUCUAAAGCUAAAUAUUGGCGAGAGACCGAUAGCGAACAAGUACCGUGAGGGAAAGAUGAAAAGAACUUUGAAAAGAGAGUUAAACAGUACGUGAAAUUGUCAAAAGGGAAGCGCUUGACACCAGUGUUGUUUUUCCGAAAAUCAAUUACGAAUGUUUGUUUUGAUGAGUGUAUGACCUUCAUCAGCUUUCUCACUUUCUUUACGAGUCUUUCUUAAUGCACUUUUCGGUUAACAAGUCAACAUCAAUUUCUUUUGUUGUAAAAGGGUAUGAGGAAGGUGGCUUUCUUUUCGGAGAAAGUGUUUAUAGCCUUGUGCCUCUACAAUCGGAGAGAUUGAGGUCUGCAGCGUAGAUCCUUCGGGGUUAGAUACGUUUGUGCUAAGUUAUAGCUUUUCAUAGACAACUUGUUGACUAUGUUUAGUCUUGUAGCUUACUCGCUGACGCUAUUUUACCUACGCUUAGGAUGUUGACUGAUAUGUAGUCGU
rnacentral:rRNA from 1 species